CUUAUUGUUAUGAGGGUCGAUUUGGAAAUUGCCCACUGCGGCAAAAGAUGAAGUAAUAACAAUGCGCUUAAUACUCUUUACGCCUUGAGCAGCCUCUAAAAUGCCGAGAGUACCCUUCACGGCAGGGUCCAAAAGUUGGGAUUUGUUGUCAGUAACGUUUUCCACAAAGAAUGGUGAUGCUAUAUGACAAAUCAAUUCCACAUCUUUCAAAACACCGUCAAAAGCGUUAGAAGCAGAGACAUCCUUGACGAUUACAAACUCAAUUUUAUCCUUUAAUCCGGGAUUGAGUCUAAUAAGCUCGUCUGCCUUUUCCAUGCUUCUCACCGUACCACGCACACGGUAGCCGGCUUGCAGGAGCUGCUCAGCGACGUGGGCUCCAAUAAAUCCUGUAACACCAGUAACAAGGACCAAUUUUCCACUCAUCUUUGAAGGUUUUGUGUUUGUUCUAAAAAAUAUAAGUGAUUAUACCUGAAAUAUCACUUGUUGACAAUGGAAGUAGACUUUCCUUGUAAUAUAUAAGAAAAUGAGUAGGCAACGAAAAAUUUGUUCCAUAUUUUUCUUCGGAAGUUGCGCAUCCGAUUGUUCCCAUUUUUUUAGUAAUCAAAUAUAAUAUUAUUAAUGGGCUAUAACAUGACGUGAAAUGGAUAACUUGACUUUCUCAAGUUUUCGUUCUGCCAUUUCUUACGCAUUAUAGUAAAAGUCUCACAAAACUUGUUGAAUACAGGAGAGUUUCGUAAUACGGAAAUUUAGUAAAGAAGUAGGGAUGUAAACAAUGGUCAGCUAUUGCUUCUGAGCAAUAAAAGUUUUGUUAAUACAAAUUAGAAAGAAAAUGAAAAUAAAUGGUUGUGUAAAUUUAGUAUCCCGCUUUGGCAUACAGCUAUUCUAUUCAUGGUAAAAAGAUAUAAAAAGCAGUUUUCAGAUUUAUGGAUAGCAUUAGAUGGGUUUUAUUUCUUUCUAGUUACGGCUGAGAAACUUAGAGUGAGUUUUUUAUAGUAAAGUGGAAUACACAUCGGGGAAUAUAAUUCUGCAUGGAAUUAUCACCUUAAAAAUACGAUUUCUGCUUUACAUACACAUAUUUCCGUACCCACCUCUUUCGUCCUUUCUCAAAUAUCAUCAUUCGGUAUGCUCUAUGAAGAUUAUUAUUUUAAGGUAUUGAAAAGAGACUCGCAGUAGACUAAUUAAGGCGAAAACGUUAGUUUAGCUUAAUGAACUAAUCGAACUGUUGGAUUUUAUUAUCUAUAU